CAGAAACUAGCCAGGUGUUCUCAAACCCCGUUCCUCUUUUCUUCCUGCACACUUGGUUAGAAUACAUUUCUCACCCUCUCUUUCAGUUAGGUGAAUAGACAUGACUGAGUUCAAGUAAAAGGAGUGUGAGUUAAAAUGACACAAACCACUACACAGCAUCCUGCAUGCAGCCCUUCAUGCUGUUUUUCUUUAACAAGCUUAGCAGAGAUAAGCAUAGAAAUGUUAGAAGCAAGAGUCGAAGAUGGCUGAGCCUCAAGAAGGAAGGAGGCUAUGGCUUUAUGGAGGAGAGCUGCCUGAAUUUCAUUUGUCCUGAGAGAGUGGAGGAACUGGAGAUAGGACUACAGGGAGAAAAAAAUCUUACCACAAGAAUCGGCUGCUCUGCCUUCCAGUUCACUUUCAAACCCUUUCAAAUACAUCAAUAUCUUCCUGACCAUAUCAAUAUUAUUUUUAGAAGUUAGACAAUGAACUUGAAUUUUCUGCAGAUGGCAAGUCAUUUACUGAAAUGGAAAAAAAGUGACGAAUUCCAGUUAUGAAAUGCAGUCUCUAUGGAGUUGCCAAUUCUUCUGUUUUGUUACUGUCUUUUGGGCUCAAGUCAUUAAAAUUGUGUAAUUCUAUGCCUUUAAAAGUAUGAAGAUAUUUUUAUUUAUAUAAAUUAAGUUAUACAAAAACUGGACAAGUUGAUAAUUAUUUACUAUCUCUUUGUCAAGUUUAAUUUUAUUUUUCUCAUGUCUCAAGCUAUUUCUCUUUUUCUUUUCUAAGGCUUUGUUAAAAUUAGAAGCUGGGAAAAAUAAUUUUCAGUUGGCCUUUGGAAGUAUAUAAUGUGAAAAAUUUAUCUUCUUAAUUGAAUUGCACACUUAUGAUAUGUGUGCUUUUCUGUUUCUACAUUUCAUUUUAAAAGUUAAAAGAAAUGUAACCUUAAUAGAGUAGUUUCAAGUAUAUCUACAUAUAAGGAUUAUCUGUGCUUUUUCAAAAUUCGAGACAGAGUCUUGCUCUAUUGCCCAGGCUGGAGUGCAGUGGCACUAUUAUAACACACUGCAGGCUUGAACUCCUGGGCCCAGGUGAUCCUCUGGCCCCAGCUUUCCAAAGUGCUGGGAUUACAGGCGUGAGCCACCAUGCCUCAUUCUAGUUGUACAUUUUUGCUUUAUUUUAUUUUUAUACAAUUUCCUCGACCAUAGUCUGGGAAACUGAUUCAGAAGGUCUAGGGUAGAGUCAGAUUAUUUGAAAUUAUUUUUAAGAAGAUCUCCAGGUGAUUUUGAUCACCUCCCAGAUUUGAAACAACUCUAACACACAGAGAUGAAACAGAGGGAAAAACUUACAUACCCACAAACCAGAAGGGUUCAGUAAUUAAUAUGGAUCAUUUACAUUGCAGUUUAUUGAUUUGAUUAUUGCAUUUCUCAAUAAAUAAAAAGUCAUGCCAAUGAGGUAACUAUGAGCAGAACAAAUGAAUUGUGGGGUGCAUGUAUAAUGGAAUACACUAUUCCAUCAAUAUUGAAUGAACUAGAUGGAAACUGAAUGGAUCUCACCAAUAUAUUUAGCAAACAGAAAAAAAAUUGCAGAAACAUAUAUAUAGUGUGAUACGUGUAAACAGAAGUUGAAGGGCAAAAUAUACCAUAUAUUACUUAAGUAUAUAUCAAUGAACACACAGGAAUUUUAAAAAUACCAAAUUCAAUAUAGUCUUUACCUCUGGUGGAGAGAAGAGGAGAGAUACUCAAGAUCAACCUUGGUAAUGUUGAUUUCUUUUUUUAGUGGUGAGGGUAAAAUUUUUUUGUUUUAAUAGGAGCCUUACUACCAUUUGUAUCUGAAAUAUUUCAUAAGAAAUAAAGUUUGUUGGUUAUGGAAAUAGCCUGAUUUUCAUUUUCAUACAUGCAGAGGAGAGUAAAGGGAGCAGGCGUUUUAUGUAUCUUCAAUACAAUAAGUUUAAAAUGUCAGAAAUCUGUUGACUCGUUUUUGAAAGAAUUGAGAAAAUAAAAGGUAGAAAGUAGUGAAGAAAGUUUCUCUAAGAUUGCCUUAAAUGCCUUGAAUUGUCUCUCAUCUCAUGGAUGCCAUGAGGGAGGUUUACUCAUUUAAAAUAGUAAGUGAGGCAUGCAAAAUAAAGGAAAAAGUUCUGUAUCUAUGUUCUUUAUUAGUUUCCAAUGUCAUCAUUUACUUUGUUAAAUUAAUUCACGUUACUUUAGUCUAAAAACCACUAAUGAAAAAAUCCAUUUGGAUUCAUAGAUUAGGCAUGUGACAGGUAAGAUUUGAACUUACAUGUACCAUGCUUCCCUUCCAUCCUCAAUAUUUUUUUUAAAAAGCACACAAAUGCAUGAGAGUGGUUGCAGAUUACUUUCUGAAAGGAAGGAAGCUUUUGUUCUUCAUUUUGAUUUUAGAGGAGUUAUUUAAAAGCCCAGUUAUACUCUUUACUUGCAAACAUUUUUGGCUAUUUGUGAAAGUUCACCUCCAAGGAAAUCUAAUCAGCCAGACAAGUUAUUGUUUCAUUUUAGCCUGAAAAAAAAAAUCACACAUAUAUAAAAUUACACACACACACACACUUUUAUUUUAAAGAUAGGAGGUCUAAAGAAUAUAAAAUAUGGCAAUGUGUUUCUAAUGUGUUUGAAAUGAUCAUAGCAAAUAGUGAAUUGCCACUAAAUUAUCAACAAAUUAUUUGCAUUUGACUUUUGCGUCAGUUUCUAAUUAUCAUAUAACUUGAAACAUAAACAUUGGUUAAUACUCUUUUGC
rnacentral:lncRNA from 10 species